CCUGGCUGUCACAAAAUGACUCCUCACAAUGCAUUUCCUAACAUGCUGCCAGAUCUUGUUUCAACAUUAUCAUCCUCCCGGGCUUUCGUUUCUGGUAUUCCACGAGUGGAUUUUCCGAGCUCUUCAUUAUAAUGCAGGUGGGGAAACUGAGGCACGGGGGGACACCAUCCAGUUCGAUCCCAGUCAUUGUGGGAGAGGGAUGGGAGCAGAGCCAGGCAGCGAGCUGCCCCGUGCCCUGCCUGAUUUGGCCCUGGCCGUGGGUGCCCAGAUGUGCAUCGCUGCCUCCAGAUGUGCAGGAGGCGAGGAGGGCUGGGCAGCCUCGCUGGGGAGGCCGUGGGAAGAGGACGGACGGGGAGCACCGGAGCAGACCACAGUUAUUGAUCACAACCUGAGCAGUGAAUCACCACAAACACGGGGGGAAGGAGCAGGAGAGAUGCUGCUCUGCUGCCUCAGAAAGGGCCCUGCAGCAUUCCCCUCCCCGACUGUGGCCCAGCCACCCCAUCCCCAGCUGAAAGCAUGACAGCCCCGCACACCCCUGAUGGUCACGGUGUGGCGUGCUGGGCAUUAUAUCAAAAAACCCGAAACCUGAUCCUCGCUGUGGUGUGCUCUUAUAUGAGAUCCCAUCAAGCCUGGCUUUCUGGUCUGUAAGGAGCUCCAGGAGCAGGAAGUUUAAAUUGGAAAAACUGCAAAUGAGGCACUCAUGGGGAGCAUUAAAGCACCAGGAAACCCACUGAGACCUUGAGCUUGCUCAUCUCGUCCUGGAGCUUUGAUGCUGUGGGGGACAACUCUUUGGGAGAUGGGUAUGCUGGCCAGGAAGGCCAGCCUGGUGAAUAUGGUGACGCCUUUGGAUCCUAAACCCUGUGCAUCUGCUUGUGCAUCACCUUGCCCUCACAUUGUGCUCAUCCUCAGCACGGGGCUGGGUUACCAAACUGUGCUGCAACCUUGGCUGACCUUCUUUGCCAUUCCCUGCCCAUCCUUGGCCUUGUUUACCCCGACUGGAGGUUUUUGGAGGCAGGGACAGUCACUUACGUGUGUACUAUACUUAGCACAAGGGGUUUCAGGCUUGGCUGGGUUCUCUAAUAGCAAUGAAUAUUCCAUUAAAAAAAAAAAAGUUACUUGAUUAAAAGAAAGCUAUUUAGACUACAAAGUCAAAGCACUGCCAAGUUUAAUAGUUAUCCCUCCAACCUUCAUUCUGCCUCUAAAACUUUUCCAAAUGAAUAAAAUUAAGAGAUGCUCCA
rnacentral:lncRNA from 1 species